rnacentral:rRNA from 1 species
UACGGGGGGGGGUAAGCGUUGUUCGGAAUUACUGGGCGUAAAGGGCUCGUAGGCGGCCAACUAAGUCAGACGUGAAAUCCCUCAGCUUAACUGGGGAACUGCGUCUGAUACUGGAUGGCUUGGAUUCGGGAGAGGAAUGCGGAAUUCCAGGUGUAGCGGUGAAAUGCGUAGAGAUGCGGAGGAACACCGAUGGCGAAGGCAGCCCCCUGGGCUGACACUGACGCUCAGCACGAAAGCGUGGGGAGCAAACAGG